rnacentral:lncRNA from 1 species
AUUAAGUCUUUCCACUUUUCUGUGGAAAGACUUAUUGUUUUUCUUCUGAUUAUUAUUUUUUUUUUUUUUCCGCCAAAUUUUGUUCUUGCGAUAAAUGUUUGUUUCGCAAUAUGUCGCUUAGAUAUUUCUCAUAUUGUAUCGUAUAGUUUAUGCGCUUUUAAAUUUCACCCUGCUAAGCCGAACCAUUUUCUUUGUAAGAGUUAUCUCCCUAUUCACUGUUUAUCAUCUGUGUGCAUCUCCUUCGUAACAAAAAAAGAUAGCGACAAAAUUCUUUUUACAAAUUGUUCGUUACAUCCUCAGUAAUUUUUGGCGUAUUUGGAUCGAAGCGAUUCGAUGAAAUUUUAUAGGAGUUAUCUACCUUUACAAAAUAAAUUUGUCGGUAUGUUUAUUUAACUCAUAAACAGUUAACCGUAUAACCCUGGAAUGUUUUUAUUUGAGUCCCCUAGGUCCUAACUUAGAAAAUGAGGUCAAGGUCAAAGGUCAAGGUCAAGUUCUCAAUUGUGACUUUUGCUUGUUUUUGCAUUUUCUCCCUCACUUUGAGAGAUACAUAUAAAAGAACAAGUGCAAAAUGUCUGCUUAAUUGUAAUGAAGAUAUGCUACAUUUAGUCUUAUACAAUUAAAUGGCAUCUUAUAGGAGUUGUUGCCCCUGAAAUGUCUUGAUAUGAGGUUAUUUGAUUAUAACUUCAAGUUAAGUUCAUUAUAAAGACAUUUGACCUUAUACAAAAGGUUAAGUGACAAAUGACCUUGAAAAAUGGCUACCGGAAGUGACCUUGAGAAAACCGGAAGUAGCUUUUUUUGCAAUUUUUUCACAUAAAAGUACUCAGAAUCCAUAUAUUUUGUCAUAUAGAUACAUAAACUGAUUACUGAAGACUAAAAAUGACUUCCAACAAACCGGAAGUGGCCAAUUAUCUCCCAUUCUACAUACAAAAGUAUAUAGAAACUAUAUAUUUUUGGAAUCAGUGUGAAAGAAGCUAUCAUAUGAGACCGGAAGUAGCAUAUUAUCUCCCUUAUAUCACUC